GACGAACGCUGGCGGCGUGCUUAACACAUGCAAGUCGAACGGAAAGGCCCUGCUUUUGUGGGGUGCUCGAGUGGCGAACGGGUGAGUAACACGUGAGUAACCUGCCCUUGACUUUGGGAUAACUUCAGGAAACUGGGGCUAAUACCGGAUAGGAGCUCCUGCUGCAUGGUGGGGGUUGGAAAGUUUCGGCGGUUGGGGAUGGACUCGCGGCUUAUCAGCCUGUUGGUGGGGUAGUGGCUUACCAAGGCUUUGACGGGUAGCCGGCCUGAGAGGGUGACCGGCCACAUUGGGACUGCGAUACGGCCCAGACUCCUACGGGAGGCAGCAGUGGGGAAUAUUGCACAAUGGGCGGAAGCCUGAUGCAGCAACGCCGCGUGCGGGAUGACGGCCUUCGGGUUGUAAACCGCUUUCGCCUGUGACGAAGCGUGAGUGACGGUAAUGGGUAAAGAAGCACCGGCUAACUACGUG
rnacentral:rRNA from 1 species